rnacentral:tRNA from 1 species
GCCUCGGUGGCUCAGUCGGUUGAGCGCCUGACUUCAGCUCAGGUGAUUAUCUCACAGUUUGUGGGUUUGAGCCCCACAUCAGGCU